CUGGAGAUGGGAUCUGGUGCUGGAAGUUUCCUCAAAGUUCUCCUUAAAAACUUCGAUGUUCUUGCUGGGUAUCAACUGCUAUUACCCACUUUACCAAAACCUUUUUUCUUUUUCUUUUUUUUGGUUAUGUAAUCUGAUUUGGGGGUUUGUUUCUUGCAGGCCUGUGGUUAGUUUGGUUUAGCCACUGUAUGCCUCAAUUCGGUUUAUAGAGACCAAAUCACCAACUGAUGAUCGCCAAUGGCUUACGUAUUGGAUUCUCUACUUUAUGAUUACACUCUUUGAGCUCACUUUUGCCAAACUUAUUGAGUGAUCAUAAUACGUACCUGAUUGGAGAUGAUGAGCACUGCUACAGUGACAAUCAUGUGUCAAACAUUGAAGGCGG